UACGUAGGGGGCGAGCGUUGUCCGGAUUUAUUGGGCGUAAAGGGUUUGCAGGCGGCUAUGCAAGUCAGAUUUGAAAUCCCCGGGCUCAACCUGGGAACUGCAUUUGUGACUGCAUGGCUAGAGUACGGUAGAGGGGGAUGGAAUUCCGCGUGUAGCAGUGAAAUGCGUAGAUAUGCGGAGGAACACCGAUGGCGAAGGCAAUCCCCUGGACCUGUACUGACGCUCAUGCACGAAAGCGUGGGGAGCAAACAGG
rnacentral:rRNA from 1 species